AGGCCCUUUUUGUCAAGUAUAAUGGUGGGUAUAAUUUUAGGAAUGUCGUUAACUACAUAACAUAACAGAAAUCGUAUUAGAUUGUUUGUUUUAAAAAAAAACUAUUUGAUUGGGUCUUUGAAUCAAAUAGUACCACCCACUAUUUUUGGCAAAUUCCACAUCCCUCAAUAGAAUUCGAGAGUUAUAUUGAACUCUUAACGGGGUAUGGGAGACUCACCAUUACCAAGCCCACCUCACGAUGAUACGAUGUUGGUUAGCAAAAAUAAUGAUGAGAGAAUAACGCAUUAUUCAUUUACAACCUUUUGUAAUUACCCAUCCGUUUGGCCUCUAAAGAAUGUUGCCUCACGAUGAUAUGAUGUCGGCUCCAUUGCACUUAGUUUAAGUUAUUCCCACCAUGCUUAGUUUGUGAAGGGGUUCAAGAAUAGCCUCACGAUGAUACGAUGUCGGCUAUCCUCAUUGCCUACACUCACCUCAUCAUAUGUUUAUGGACUCCUCCUGGAUGUAAGCACAUACUUUGAACUCCCCCAUGAUAGGGUGAAGCCGGUGCAUGAGUCACAAACGAUUGGAGCCCACCACGGUGGAAGGCCUACGAAGAGAUGUUCAAAACAUCUCUCGCUUAUCAACUUAAUAUUCGUUUGUUGAGGGAGUAGUUUUGGGCUACAUCAAAAUCAUUUUAAUCUUAUUAAAAGAACUUGGGCCUAUCACAACUAUUGGUCCAAGUUAAUAUGAUUUAGUAGCAUAUAAUACUCCCACUGUUUCGUUGAAACAAGCGAGACUAUAUGGAACUACUAACGAACGCAUUGCAUCCUCAUAUGGACUAUAUAGUCAUAUUAGGUUUUAGGAUGAUUAUGAACCAUUUGAUUUGAUCCAACACCAGCCUUGUGUUGGACCUUGGGUUUAAGGUAGAUAGUUGUUGAUUUUAGUUACACGUUUAAUCCAAUUAAACCGUUAUUUCCUAUUGGGCGUUGGACCCAACUAUUCCAUUUUGCAUACAAUUAAACAAAUAGGAAUACAUGAAAUAAUAAGAAGGGCUUAUGCCCUUUUACAACACAAAUGAUGGACUUAUGUCCAUUUACAACAAAUUGAAUUAAUCAAAUUACAUUCAAAUCUACACUACCAAACCCAAACAUUCAUAAUGUAAAGCGGCCAAUCACAUAGCUCAAUUAUCGAGGCCUUUGGUUCAUAAUCACCCUUUUCUUAAUCAAUCACAUUAACUAAGAAAGCAACUUAAACAAUUGGUUUUUGGAUCCAUAGAAUUGAUUUAAAUGGAACUAAAUGAAAUGAAAAUCCAAUUCUCAUUAAAGAGACAAAACAAUUUUGUUCUCAUUUUAUUUGGGCCAAAAGGAAACUAUGACCACAACAAUUGGGCCACAAUGCAAAAACACAAACUUUUGGGGUCACUUUGAAAAAACACAAAAGUCCACAACUUCAUGUAAUUUCAACUAGAACCCAAAAUUUUAAUAAUGUAAAAACAUCAUUAAAGGAUCAAAACAAUUCGUCCUUUAGAGUUUUUCGGCCUUAACGUAAAAACGUAAACUUUUGGGCCAAAGUGCAAAUACACAAAAGUAUCAAAACUUUAUGUAAUUGCAUAACAGGCUCCAAAAAUACACCCACUAGGGGGUGGCCGGUUGUUUGGAGUGUGAAAGAGUGUGAAAGGGAUUUUAUGCAAGUGGUGCAUGCAUGUGCAAUAUGCAAGUGGAAUUGGUGGGUGAGGUUAAAGGUGAAUGGGAUGGGUUGUAAGAGAAAUGUUUUUGUGAAACAUUAAUAGCAUUAAUCAUCCUUCACCUAUAACCAUCACCCAUCAUAAAUAAACCAAAACUUUAUUUAAAACACCAAACACUUUGAAUAAAAAAUCCAAACCUUUUUGUUCUUGGUAAGAAACUCAAGAACAUUGAAGAACACACAUGAAAACUCAUAAGAGUUCCAUGAAUGUUUUCACUCAUUAAAACUCAAAUUUUCACUACUCAAAAGAGGGCUAACAUCCUAGGGUACUUAGGGGUUCCAAAAGUCACCUUAAAACCAUUUUAACAAGACAAACAUGAACCCAAAAAAUCACCCUAUGGAUUUGGCCGAAUUUCCAAACAUUCAUGGCACCAAAUUUUAGUUCCAAUAUUCAUGCUUAAAUGAAAUACAUCUACAACAUUUAAGAUGCUAAAUUUUCUAGCAAAAUUUAUAUUCAAAGCAAGAACAAAGCUUGUAACAUUUACAACAUUUAAAUCACAAAUCAUGAAAAUCACAAAACCCAAAAGGAUUCACCAUAAACUAGGCCUAGGCUCUGAUACCACUUGAAGGAAAAAUUUUGUCCUAGCUAAGAACAUGUAAGAACAUUUGAAUACAUAUGCAUACUAUUAACACUUUAAAGUAGGCAUGCAUUCAAAAACAAUUCAUAAAACCCAUGACUUUCAAAGCCUAGUAUAUGGUGAACCAAUAAACUCUUUAACAACAUUAAAGAGAAGGAAAGAUUUAGAGUUUCUUUACCCUUGAAGCUCAUCCUUGUUUACACAAGGGAUUCACCCAAGUGGAGGGCCUUCAAGUCACCUCCUUGCUCCUUGGAUCUUCCUUGUGAUUUUCCUCCUUUUAGUGCUCCUUUGCUUCUUUGAGGAUUUGAGGAUUAGUUCUCCAAAAACAUCAAAAGCUUGAUGUCUCUAAGUUUCCACACCAAGGAUGAAGUGUGAAGAUGAAAUGGAUGACUUAGAGAAGAAAAGAUUACUAGCUAAUUCCCCUCUAAGUGGCCGGCCUCUUUAGAGAAAAUGAGAGAAAGUGUUUCACCUCAUUUCACCAAGAAAAAACCCUAAUGAGAAAUAAAGCUAUAAAGUUGAUUUUAUACUUCAUUUCAAGUGAGUGGCAAACUUGUAAUUAAUCCAAGUUUGCUACCCUCACCCUUAUGGUCGGCCUUACCUUUGUUAUUGGGCUAAUUGCCCAUUUUGUUUUAGUUGUCAUACAACUUAAACAUAAUGGGCCUUGUGGACCAAAACGCUUUUGAGUCCCGAAGCCCAAAACCAACUUAAAAGCCUAAUACGAACCUUUCGUAAAAUUAAUUAACUAAUUAAUUAAUCUUGACCAUUCUCAAUUAAACCAUUUAAUUG
rnacentral:lncRNA from 1 species